UGAUAAUAUGGUUAAUUAGGCUAUAUGUUAUAAUUAAACUUAUCUGUCCGAGUGAGCAAUUGCAACUUGAUAUAGCAACAGUUCAAGUGUAAUUCGUAAUAUCCACAAGAUAUUCAUGCUGUUUUCUUUCUACGUUAUAUCAGCGUGUCAAAGCAGCUUCGUCUUCAGCCAAGGAGUACUCUUUCUUAAUCUUUGAUCAUUGCUCUAUUCUUAAUCAUAAUGCUAAAUAAUAAUGUUCACUGAUGUGUGAAGCUACUUUUAUAGUAUUAGUCAGAGGAUGACUUUGCCAUCUUGACGCAUUUCCUAUAUGCAAUGCUGUGGUCGUUGGUGGAAAGUUCUCUAACCACAUUCAUGAUUCAUGUCCGUUGACGUUAUUUGUGGACAAGGCGUUUUCUUUUAUCUUUAGAACUAUGUGCUUACUCAUGCAUGUAAGCUAUAAUAUAAGUAUGAGCUAUAGUAUAAUAUAAUAAUAGUAUAAUAUUUAAUAUAUGUAAAGGAUAGGAUAAAAUGCAGGCAAGACCUCACCCCAAAUUUUCACUGCCCAC
rnacentral:lncRNA from 1 species